CCCUUAGAUGUUCUGGGCCGCACGCGUGCUACACUGAGUGGAUCAGCGGGCCAGGUUGCGCGAAAGCGUUUCCUAAUCUUUAAAUCCGCUCGUGAUGGGGAUUGACGGUUGCAAUUUUCUGUCAUGAACGAGGAAUACCUUGUAAGCGCGGGUCAUCAUCCCGCGCUGAAUACGUCCCUGCCCUUUGUACACACCGCCCGUCGCUCCUACCGAUUGAGUGGUCCGGUGAAUUACAUAGAAUUUUGCGUUUUACAUGACGGAAGACGAAGUGUUUUAAACCUUAUCAUUUAGAGGAAGGAGAAGUCGUAACA
rnacentral:rRNA from 1 species